UAACGAAGUACUUCUACUUCGUUACUUCCCACCACUGGUUAUCAGCAGCCUUUUACUGUAAAAAUAAAUAUUUACGCAUACCAAGCUCUUCAGCAGACUUGAUUUAGGCUCCACACUGAUGCCUUGGCCACACGAGUUGGGAGUAAUUUCACAUGCCACGCUGUCGACCUGGCAGCAUGAUGGUUUUCAGCACACAUCGAGUGCAGCUUCCCUUUAAUAAAAGAACUGUCGAGUCAUCUCAGUGCAUCAUUUGCAGCUAAAAUGUAUUGUGCAAAGGAUGACACAUAACUAACAUGCUAAGACGCCUUCGGAUUCAUGAUGUAUAAUCUAUAGAAUUCUCAAUCCUUCAUGCACUGUGCCAGCCUUUCUCCGGCUCUCAAAAAAAUCUUUUGUAUAUAUUAAGCAGAUAGGAAAAGAGAUCUGAUUUUUGUCCUUUUUGUUUCAGGUCUCUCAAGUCAGCAUUCUCUCUCUGGAGCCAACUCUAUCACAAAUUGUUCAACUUCCAUCUCCAACUCUCCUCCAUCCAUUGAUUCUCUUCCUCACUUCAGUAGCUCUUUGACCACGCCAUGUUCCAUUCUCUCCCAGUUGCCCCCUUCAUCAACUCUUGUCUUACCUUUCCCUACCAGUUCUACCUUCCCUCCUGUGGAUUCCCCCCAUUUGCAUCCUCUACCUUCUUCUGUUAGUCCUCUCUCAGCAGCUGGUAUGGCUGCCCCUCCUGUACACCCACCCAUGACAGGCUUCUUUACAAGUGCUGGAUACGACAUCACACAGGGUCAUGCUGGACGAACACCACAGACGCCCUUGAUGCCUACAUUCUCUAAUGCUUCUCCAAUGCCAGCACAGAGAAUGAAAAGCCUCCUUAGCCACUUUGGAGCCCGUCGCAGCCCCACAGUGCACACCGACUCAGAUGCAUGUUAACGCGGCUGCUGCACUCCAGUCAGGGAACAGAAGAAGAGGAACAUGGCUGACAUGAUGGUAAACAAUGAGGAGAACCAUCAGAACAACAACUGAUCUCCUUCAGGAGGAAGCAGCUACCUGCACUGAAAUGGGAGAGGUCCUUAGAGGAGAGUUGAGGCAAACAAAAGAUGAAAAAUAAAUGCUGUUGUGCUCUCAA